rnacentral:rRNA from 1 species
UGUCAAGUAAGAAAGUGCAUUUGGUGGAUGCCUUGGCGAUCACAGGCGACGAAGGACGUGUAAGUCUGCGAAAAGCGUAGGGGAGCUGACAAUAGCGCAUUGAUCCUACGAUGUCCGAAUGGGGAAACCCACUCCUUUAUAGGAGUAUCCCACCCUGAAUCUAUAGGGGUGAGGAAGCGAACCUGGUGAACUGAAACAUCUCAGUAACCAGAGGAAAAGAAAUCAACCGAGAUUGCGAAAGUAGUGGUGAGCGAAAUCGCAACAGCCUGUACAGGUUAACCAUAACGUUAGAAGAAUGAUCUGGAAAGAUCAGCCAGAGUGGGUGAUAGCCCCGUAUUCGAAAACGCUGUGGCCAGACUAGCUGUACGACAAGUAGGACGGGACACGUGAAAUCCUGUUUGAAGAUGGGGGACCAUCCUCCAAGGCUAAAUACUCGUGAUCGACCGAUAGUGAACUAGUACCGUGAGGGAAAGGCGAAAAGCACCCCGGGAGGGGAGUGAAAUAGAUCCUGAAACCGAAUGCAUACAAACAGUAGGAGCUCCAGCCGCAAUGGGAUUGAAACCAGUGUCAUUGCGGCUGGGGUGACUGCGUACCUUUUGUAUAAUGGGUCAGCGACUUACAUUCCGUAGCAAGCUUAACCGAAUAGGGGAGGCGUAGGGAAACCGAGUCCGAAUAGGGCGUUUUGAGUUGCGGGGUGUAGACCCGAAACCGAGUGAUCUAUCCAUGGCCAGGUUGAAGGUGCGGUAACACGCACUGGAGGACCGAACCCACUUAUGUUGCAAAAUAAGGGGAUGAGCUGUGGAUAGGAGUGAAAGGCUAAUCAAACUCGGAGAUAGCUGGUUCUCCCCGAAAACUAUUUAGGUAGUGCCUUGCGAUACACUGAUGGGGGUAAAGCACUGUUAUGGCUAGGGGAUCAUCAUGAUUUACCAAACCAUGGCAAACUCAGAAUACCAUCAAGUGGUUUCGCAGGAGACAGACAUCGGGUGCUAACGUCCGGUGUCAAGAGGGAAACAACCCAGACCGCCAGCUAAGGUCCCAAAUAUCCGCUCAGUGGUAAACGAAGUGGGAAGGCUAAGACAGCCAGGAUGUUGGCUUAGAAGCAGCCAUCAUUUAAAGAAAGCGUAAUAGCUCACUGGUUAAGUCGUCCUGCGCGGAAGAUGUAACGGGGCUCAAGCGGAUAACCGAAGCUGCGGAUGACAACAGCAAUGUUGUUGUGGUAGGGGAGCGUUCUGUAGGUCUGCGAAGGUGUGCUGUAAAGCAUGCUGGAGAUAUCAGAAGUGCGAAUGCUGACAUGAGUAGCGAUAAAGCGGGUGAAAAGCCCGCUCGCCGAAAGCCCAAGGUUUCCUACGCAACGUUCAUCGGCGUAGGGUGAGUCGGCCCCUAAGGCGAGGCUGAAAAGCGUAGUCGAUGGGAAACAGGUUAAUAUUCCUGUACUGUAUCAAAGUGCGAUGUGGGGACGAAGAACGUUAGGUCAGCGGCCUGUUGGAUGGUCGUUCAAGCCUGUAGAUGGAUCGCCUUGGCAAAUCCGGGCGGUUAUUAACAUCAAGGGGUGAUAACGAGGAUCUACGGAUCUGAAGUGACUGAUACGCAGCUUCCAGGAAAAGCCACUAAGCUUCAGCUUUGAUGCAACCGUACCGCAAACCGACACAGGUGGGCAGGAUGAGAAUUCUAAGGCGCUUGAGAGAACUCAGGAGAAGGAACUCGGCAAAUUGAUACCGUAACUUCGGAAGAAGGUAUGCCUCAUUAGUGUAGCGGGGUUCGCCCCCAAAGCGCGAAGAGGCCGCAGAGAAUCGGUGGCUGCGACUGUUUAAUAAAAACAUAGCACUGUGCUAACACGCAAGUGGACGUAUACGGUGUGACGCCUGCCCGGUGCUGGAAGGUUAAAUGAAGGGGUGUUAAGCUCCGGAUUGAAGCCCCAGUAAACGGCGGCCGUAACUAUAACGGUCCUAAGGUAGCGAAAUUCCUUGUCGGGUAAGUUCCGACCCGCACGAAUGGCGUAACGAUGGCCAUACUGUCUCCUUCUGAGACUCAGCGAAGUUGAAAUGGUUGUGAAGAUGCAAUCUCCCCGCUGCUAGACGGAAAGACCCCGUGAACCUUUACUGUAGCUUUGCAUGGGCGUUUGAACAAGCUUGUGUAGGAUAGGUGGGAGGCUUCGAUACCGAGGCGCUAGUUUCGGUUGAGCCAACGUUGAAAUACCACCCUGGAUUGUUUGGAUGUCUAACCUUGGUCCGUUAUCCGGAUCGGGGACAGUGCAUGGUAGGCAGUUUGACUGGGGCGGUCUCCUCCUAAAUUGUAACGGAGGAGCUCGAAGGUUACCUAGAUACGGUCGGAAAUCGUAUGGAUUGUGCAAUGGCAUAAGGUAGCUUAACUGCGAGACUGACAAGUCGAGCAGAUGCGAAAGCAGGACAUAGUGAUCCGGUGGUUCUGUAUGGAAGGGCCAUCGCUCAACGGAUAAAAGGUACUCCGGGGAUAACAGGCUAAUUCCGCCCAAGAGUUCAUAUCGACGGCGGCGUUUGGCACCUCGAUGUCGGCUCAUCACAUCCUGGGGCUGUAGCAGGUCCCAAGGGUAUGGCUGUUCGCCAUUUAAAGUGGUACGUGAGCUGGGUUUAAAACGUCGUGAGACAGUUUGGUCCCUAUCUGCAGUGGGCGUUGGAAGUUUGACGGGAUCUACUCCUAGUACGAGAGGACCGGAGUGGACGUACCGCUGGUGUACCGGUUGUAACGCCAGUUGCAUCGCCGGGUAGCUAAGUACGGGAAAGAUAACCGCUGAAAGCAUCUAAGCGGGAAACUUGCCUGAAGAUAAGACUUCCCUGGGGGCGUGACCCCCCUGAAGAGCCGUGGUAGACCACCACGUUGAUAGGCUGGGUGUGUAAGCGCUGUAAAGCGUUCAGCUAACCAGUACUAAUGGCUCGUGAGGCUUGGCAUC